rnacentral:rRNA from 1 species
CUCGUAGGCGGCCAACUAAGUCAGACGUGAAAUCCCUCGGCUUAACCGGGGAACUGCGUCUGAUACUGGAUGGCUAGAGUUUGGGAGAGGGAUGCGGAAUUCCAGGUGUAGCGGUGAAAUGCGUAGAUAUCUGGAGGAACACCGGUGGCGAAGGCGGCAUCCUGGACCAACACUGACGCUGAGGAGCGAAAGCCAGGGAGCAAACG